GACGAACGCUGGCGGCGUGCUUAACACAUGCAAGUCGAACGGAAAGGCCCUGCGUUUGUGGCGUUCUCGAGUGGCGAACGGGUGAGUAACACGUGAGUAACCUGCCCUUGACUUUGGGAUAACUUCAGGGAAAUGGGGCGAAUACCGGAUAGGAGCUCCUGCUGCAUGGUGGGGGUUGGAAAGUGUCGGCGGUUGGGGAUGGACUCGCGGGUUAUGAGCUUGAUGGUGGGGUAGUGGCUUACCAAGGGUGUGACGGGUAGCCGGCCUAAGAGGGUGAACGGCCACAUUGGGCCUGAGAGACGGCCCAGACUCCUACGGGAGGCAGAAGUGGGGAAUAUUGCACAAUGGGCGGAAGCCUGAUGCAGCAACGCCGCGUGCGGGAUGACGGCUUUCGGGUUGUAAACCGCUUUCGCCGGUGACGAAGCCUGAGUGACGGUAAUGGGUAAAGAAGCACCGGCUAACUACGUG
rnacentral:rRNA from 1 species